AGAGUUUGAUCCUGGCUCAGAACGAACGCUAGCGGCGUGCCUAACACAUGCAAGUCGAACGCGAAAGGUAGCAAUACCAAGUAGAGUGGCGAAAGGGCGAGUAACCCAUUCCUACGUACCCCGAGGUCGGGGAUAGCCAGGGGAAACCCUGAUUAAUACCCGAUGUGAUCGAGAGAUCAAAGGCUUGCCGCCUUGGGAGCGGGGAAUGUCCUAUCAGGUAGUUGGUGAGGUAACGGCUCACCAAGCCUCAGACGGGUAGCGGGUGUGAGAGCACGGCCCGCCGCAUCGGGACUGAGACACUGCCCGGACUCCUACGGGAGGCUGCAGUAACGAAUCUUCCACAAUGCGCGAAAGCGUGAUGGAGCAAUGCCGCGUGCAGGAUGAAGCCCUUCGGGGUGUAAACUGCUGUCAGGGUGUAGCAAAAAAAUGAGCAGACCCAAAGGAAGAGGUGGCUAACUCUGUGCCAGCAGCCGCGGUAAUUCA
rnacentral:rRNA from 1 species